rnacentral:lncRNA from 1 species
CCCCUCCCCAAAUGAAGAACCCUAAAAUUCGCCACCAAAAUCCCAGCAGAAAAUCUUGAUGUUCGGAAACUAUACACACACACAGACAAUUGACUCAACGAGAGGCUGAUUAGCUGGUAGUAUGGUUUCUUUAUACGCGAGAAGAAUGGGUAAAUAAGGAGCUCGGCAUUUCGAAUGAAAUGGAAAGUGGAAUCUGAUGCUCCAUUCGGCCCCCAGAGCAAAGGAAAAAUGGAAUUUUGAAAGAAAUGAAAAGUGGAAAAGUAAACUCCACUCGGGACUUUGACUAAAAAGAGAGGUUGAUUAGUUGGGUGAAAUUUUUCUUUUUUUUGCAUGUUUUCACAACAAUAUUCUGGUCUCUUGUCAAAAGCUAAUAAUUUUUUUGGUUAGGUGACUGGUUUAUUGCGAGAACCUCUGUUUUUCACUUUCAUGCUGCAUCCAUGAGUCUGGAAUAACUUAUUGAAGUUUAUGAGCGUAAGAAAACUGCUUGGUAUCAACUUGUGGUCUACUCCAAUUCGAGAAUGAAUGCAAACAAAAGUGUCUUCAUUAUUGGUGCCACCAACAGGCCUAAUAUAAUCAAUCAUGCGCUUUUUCGUCAUGGACGUCUCGAUCAAUUGAUUUACAUCUGUAAAUAAGUAAAAUUGUCUUAAAGAUUGGAACCACCAUAUUAACAUUUUUCCCUGUAUUGUAGUAGGAAAAUUGAUGGCUUGUUUUCUGAUUGUAUUGAAGCUAUAAAUGAAUGG